rnacentral:rRNA from 1 species
AUUGAACGCUGGCGGCAGGCCUAACACAUGCCAGUCGAGCGGAGCGGCGGACGGGUGAGUAAUGCAUAGGAAUCUGCCUGGAAGUUGGGGAUAACGUCCGGAAACGGGCGCUAAUACCGCAUACUAUCAGAUGAGCCUAGGCCGGAUUAGCUAGUUGUGGGGGUAAAGGCCUACCAAGGCGACGAUCUGUAACUGGUCUGAGAGGAUGAUCAGUCACAAUGGAACUGAGACACGGUCCAGACUCCUACGGGAGGCAGCAGUGGGGAAUAUUGGAAAAUGGGCGAAAGCCGGAUCCAGCCAUGCCGCGUGUGUGAAGAAGGUCUUCGGGUUGUAAAGCACUUUAAGUUGGGAGGCGUUACCAACAGAAUAAGCACCGGCUAACUUCGUGCCAGCAGCCGCGGUAAUUC